GGCCAGACUCCUACGGGAGGCAGCGGUGGGGAAUAUUGCACAAUGGGGGAAACCCUGAUGCAGCGACGCCGCGUGAGUGAAGAAGUAUUUCGGUAUGUAAAGCUCUAUCAGCAGGGAAGAAGUUGACGGUACCUGAGUAAGAAGCCCCGGCUAACUACGUGCCAGCAGCCGCGGUAAUACGUAGGGGGCAAGCGUUAUCCGGAUUUACUGGGUGUAAAGGGAGCGUAGACGGCAGUGCAAGUCUGAAGUGAAAGCCCCGGGCUUAACCCGGGAACUGCUUUGGAAACUGUACGGCUGGAGUGCUGGAGAGGUAAGCGGAAUUCCUAGUGUAGCGGUGAAAUGCGUAGAUAUUAGGAGGAACACCAGUGGCGAAGGCGGCUUACUGGACAGUAACUGACGUUGAGGCUCGAAAGCGUGGGGAGCAAACAGGAUUAGAUACCCUUGUA
rnacentral:rRNA from 1 species